GACGAACGCUGGCGGCGUGCCUAAUACAUGCAAGUCGAACGAACCGCGACUAGGUGCUUGCACUUGGUCAAGGUGAGUGGCGAACGGGUGAGUAACACGUGGGUAACCUACCUCAUAGUGGGGGAUAACAGUCGGAAACGACUGCUAAUACCGCAUAGGACAUAGGAUCACAUGAUCCAGUGAGGAAAGGUGGCGCAAGCUAUCGCUAAGAGAUGGACCCGCGGUGCAUUAGCUAGUUGGUAGGGUAAAGGCCUACCAAGGCGAUGAUGCAUAGCCGACCUAAGAGGGUGAUCGGCAACAUUGGGACUGAGACACGGCCCAAACUCCUACGGGAGGCAGCAGUAGGGAAUCUUCCGCAAUGGACGCAAGUCUGACGGAGCAACGCCGCGUGAGUGAAGAAGGUCUUCGGAUCGUAAAGCUCUGUUGUUAGAGAGAACAGCGCAUAGAGUAACUGUUAUGCGUGUGACGGUAUCUAACCAGAAAGCCACGGCUAACUACGUG
rnacentral:rRNA from 1 species